rnacentral:lncRNA from 1 species
AAAAUUGGUAAGUGCAAGGAAAAGAAAGAUGAGAAAAAGAAAAAGUGUGUAGAAACAUCCGUUUCUACCGAGAAAUAAAAGAGAAAAAGAAAUGAAAAAUAAAAAAAGGUAUCUAUAUAGAGAAAUGAAAAAAAAAAGCACUUGCCUUAGAAAUAUACUCAUGUAUUAAUAUGAAUUUGAGGGGAAAAAGAGUCAAGAGUGAAGGACGGCCGCAAAAUAAAAUUCUUGCACAAAGAAAAACAACAACAUGAAUGCCGAGCUGUAAAAC